AUUGAACGCUGGCGGCAUGCCUUACACAUGCAAGUCGAACGGCAGCGCGGGGGCAACCCUGGCGGCGAGUGGCGAACGGGUGAGUAAUAUAUCGGAACGUACCCAAGAGUGGGGAUAACGUAGCGAAAGUUACGCUAAUACCGCAUACGAUCUAAGGAUGAAAGCAGGGGACCGCAAGGCCUUGUGCUCCUGGAGCGGCCGAUAUCUGAUUAGCUAGUUGGUGGGGUAAAGGCCUACCAAGGCAUCGAUCAGUAGCUGGUCUGAGAGGACGACCAGCCACACUGGGACUGAGACACGGCCCAGACUCCUACGGGAGGCAGCAGUGGGGAAUUUUGGACAAUGGGGGCAACCCUGAUCCAGCAAUGCCGCGUGAGUGAAGAAGGCCU
rnacentral:rRNA from 1 species